CUUCCCUUGAUGAAAGAUCCUGGCUCAACAGACUGAGCUGCCUCACAAAAUAUAUAUAUGUCUGAAAUACAAGAAGCUCGCACUGACAAAGAAAAAGCCAAAAAUAAAAUAAAGGCAGCUAGCUUGAUGACAAGCUGGCAUGUUCAAAUUUGAGGCUCAAAUUCAAUGUGAAUCACAACCAUGUGAAUCUUACUCUGUUUCAGAAUUGAAGCAGAACUCAGAUCCUGCAAACAGAACUAUGUGGCCUUGAUUUACACAUGUGUGUGGAGACUUGCUCCAGUCCAUGGGGUCACUUGCUCAUGUGCAGAGCUACAUGUGGACUGGAUUAUCUAGGCAUUUGUGCAAAGAAAGAGCCUUUUGGACAUCUGAAAAUUAUGCACUAGUGAAGGUGUUGUCUCCUGUCUACCUUUAUAUGACCUCGGUGAAGAAAGAAAAUUCAAAAUGUCAGAGUCAACACAAACUCAUAAAAAUAUCUACUACAGAACUCCCAGCCCACCAGUGAAGUUUGGUUCAGAUUAAAUGGAAUAGUAUUAUACAGAUCUGUCUAUUGGAAAAUGUUCCCAGGUGCUGUAAAAUAGUGUCGCAAUGCUUCCAAUUCUGAGC
rnacentral:lncRNA from 1 species